rnacentral:rRNA from 1 species
CCUACGGGGUGCAGCAGUGGGGAAUAUUGGACAAUGGGGGGAACCCUGAUCCAGUGACGCCGCGUGAGUGAAGAAGUAUUUCGGUAUGUAAAGCUCUAUCAGCAGGGAAGAAAAUGACGGUACCUGACUAAGAAGCCCCGGCUAACUACGUGCCAGCAGCCGCGGUAAUACGUAGGGGGCAAGCGUUAUCCGGAUUUACUGGGUGUAAAGGGAGCGUAGACGGUGCAGCAAGUCUGAUGUGAAAGGUCGGGGCCCAACCCCGGGACUGCAUUGGAAACUGUUGAACUGGAGUACAGGAGAGGUAAGCGGAAUUCCUAGUGUAGCGGUGAAAUGCAUAGAUAUCACGCAGAACUCCGAGCGCGAAGGCAGCCUACCGGCGCACAACUGACGCUCAUGCACGAAAGCGUGGGUAUCGAACAGGAUUAGAUACCCCAGUAGUC